GUAGUGAAGGAAGGAACUCAAGGCUUGAGAAUUGAAGGAAGAACAAAGGAGAAGAGGGUUUUGUGGGAUACCAAGAGUCAAGCAAAAAAAUUGUGGAAAAAUCAUCAUAAGGAUUGGAGGGAGGCGUCUCUACACCUCUUGGGAAUUAAUUCGUAGAGUUUCAAUCUAUCCUUUUGCUAAUUUGGAGAUUCCUAGACUUUUGUGUGGCUCGCCUCAACUUGGAAGAUUAGAGUUUCUGGAGGAUCAAUGGUGAACAUCUGG